rnacentral:rRNA from 1 species
AUUGAACGCUGGCGGCAUGCCUUACACAUGCAAGUCGAACGGCAGCACGGGAGCAAUCCUGGUGGCGAGUGGCGAACGGGUGAGUAAUAUAUCGGAACGUGCCCAGUCGUGGGGAUAACGUAGCGAAAGCUACGCUAAUACCGCAUACGAUCUACGGAUGAAAGCGGGGGAUCGCAAGACCUCGCGCGAUUGGAGCGGCCGAUAUCAGAUUAGGUAGUUGGUGAGGUAAAGGCUCACCAAGCCGACGAUCUGUAGCUGGUCUGAGAGGACGACCAGCCACACUGGGACUGAGACACGGCCCAGACUCCUACGGGAGCAGCAGUGGGGAAUUUUU